rfam:Caenorhabditis tropicalis strain JT1373 unplaced genomic scaffold Scaffold629, whole genome shotgun sequence.
CCAACGGCCCUCUUUAGGGCCACAAAUUGAUAUUUAUCCUGAAUA